rnacentral:tRNA from 1 species
GGAAGAUUGGCAGAGUCUGGUUUAUUGCACCGCACUUGAAAUGCGGCGAACUAGUAACCCUAGUUCCUACGGUUCAAAUCCGUAAUCUUCCU